CCUACGGGUGGCAGCAGUGGGGAAUAUUGCACAAUGGGGGAGAGUCUGAUCCAGCCACGUCGCGUGAACGAUGACGUCUCUCUGGGUGUUAAGCUUCUUUUAUAUGGGAAUAAAUCAGGGUAUGCAUCCCAUCUUGUCUGUACCAUUUGAAUCCGGAUCGCCUAACUCCGUGCCAGCAGCCGCGGUAAUACGGAGGUUCCGAGCGUUAUCCGGAUGUAGUGGGUUUAAAGGGAGCGUAGGUGGAUUGUGAAGUAAGUUGUGAAAGUUUGCGGCUCAACCGUAAAAUUGCAGUUGAAACUGGCAGUCUUGAGUACAGGUGAGGUAGGCGGAAUUCGUGGUGUAGCGGUGAAAUGCUUAGAUAUCAGGAAGAACUCCGAUUGCGAAGGCAGCUCACUGGACUGCAACUGACACUGAUGCUCGAAAGUGUGGGUAGCAAACAGGAUUAGAUACCCGUGUAGUC
rnacentral:rRNA from 1 species